rnacentral:lncRNA from 1 species
CUUCUUCAGUACUUCGGCCUUGCUAUCCUGCAGCAGCCUGGAGCUCAGAGCCGUGUCUGACCUUCCAGUCAUGAGCAGGACCUGCGCAGCCCUCCUCUUGUUCAUGGGCGUAGCUGCUUCUCUCGGCUUCAACUUGGACACGCAGCAGAGGACAAGCUUCCGUGGGGACAGCCCUGGGUUUGGACACAGUGUGGUCCAGUAUGCCAGCUCCAGGUGAGAACGGGUGGUGCCUGGCCUUCGGUGCUCAUCGGCUCUGCUCCCUGCACAGAGC